rnacentral:lncRNA from 1 species
CAGCAGACCUCUCAGCUAAAACCCUAUAAGGACACACAGGUUCAAAAUAAAGAGAUGGAGAAAAAUCUACAAUGCCUUUUUUCCUUAAAAUUUGUUUUUUACAUUAAUAAAUUGAUAUCAUUUUUCAAAAUUAGUAUUUGCAUGAUAUAUCCUUUCUGUCUUUUACACUCAAUCUCUGAAAUGACUUUUAUGCUUUAGACAUAUGUCUUGUAAACAGUAUAAUCUGAAUUUGUAUUUUUGCAUUCAAUUUGUCAAUCUCUGUCUUUUAAUCACAAGUCAAGUCUAUUUGCAUUUUACUGAAAUUAAUAACAUAUAUGGACUUUUAUAUUAUCUCACAUUUUUCAUUUCGGUCUUUUCCAUGAUUUCAAUGACUUUUUUCCUGUUAGCCCAUUUCUAUAACCCAUUCUAGCAUGUGUAUCAGGCUGGGAUGGCAGGUGGAUUCAUUCUAACCUCUACCUUGAGAUGUGUUUUCAGACUCUGUUAAGGUUUACGUUGCUCAUUUCUGGCAUCCUCCUUCACAUAAGAAUUACUGAUCCAGGCCCAGCCAUUUGUAGAUUUUGAGACAUUGUUCUGGCUGUCUGCAUAUGGCCUGUCUCUGGACUUAACAUCCCAUGUCCUCACUCACACUACAUAACUUUAGACCCACCCUAUUACUAUGGACUCCCUGUCUAUUUGUAUUUUUUCAGCGAAGCCUCUAAAAGUAAUUAUCAAUAUACUUGAAACAUUAACUUGAUAGAUUCUUGUAAAAUCACAUAAUC